rnacentral:rRNA from 1 species
UUUAACUGAAGAGUUUGAUCAUGGCUCAGAUUGAACGCUGGCGGCAGGCUUAACACAUGCAAGUCGAGCGGGGGAAGGUAGCUUGCUACUGGACCUAGCGGCGGACGGGUGAGUAAUGCUUAGGAAUCUGCCUAUUAGUGGGGGACAACAUCUCGAAAGGGAUGCUAAUACCGCAUACGUCCUACGGGAGAAAGCAGGGGAUCUUCGGACCUUGCGCUAAUAGAUGAGCCUAAGUCGGAUUAGCUAGUUGGUGGGGUAAAGGCCUACCAAGGCGACGAUCUGUAGCGGGUCUGAGAGGAUGAUCCGCCACACUGGGACUGAGACACGGCCCAGACUCCUACGGGAGGCAGCAGUGGGGAAUAUUGGACAAUGGGGGGAACCCUGAUCCAGCCAUGCCGCGUGUGUGAAGAAGGCCUUAUGGUUGUAAAGCACUUUAAGCGAGGAGGAGGCUACUUUAGUUAAUACCUAGAGAUAGUGGACGUUACUCGCAGAAUAAGCACCGGCUAACUCUGUGCCAGCAGCCGCGGUAAUACAGAGGGUGCGAGCGUUAAUCGGAUUUACUGGGCGUAAAGCGUGCGUAGGCGGCUUAUUAAGUCGGAUGUGAAAUCCCCGAGCUUAACUUGGGAAUUGCAUUCGAUACUGGUGAGCUAGAGUAUGGGAGAGGAUGGUAGAAUUCCAGGUGUAGCGGUGAAAUGCGUAGAGAUCUGGAGGAAUACCGAUGGCGAAGGCAGCCAUCUGGCCUAAUACUGACGCUGAGGUACGAAAGCAUGGGGAGCAAACAGGAUUAGAUACCCUGGUAGUCCAUGCCGUAAACGAUGUCUACUAGCCGUUGGGGCCUUUGAGGCUUUAGUGGCGCAGCUAACGCGAUAAGUAGACCGCCUGGGGAGUACGGUCGCAAGACUAAAACUCAAAUGAAUUGACGGGGGCCCGCACAAGCGGUGGAGCAUGUGGUUUAAUUCGAUGCAACGCGAAGAACCUUACCUGGCCUUGACAUACUAGAAACUUUCCAGAGAUGGAUUGGUGCCUUCGGGAAUCUAGAUACAGGUGCUGCAUGGCUGUCGUCAGCUCGUGUCGUGAGAUGUUGGGUUAAGUCCCGCAACGAGCGCAACCCUUUUCCUUACUUGCCAGCAUUUCGGAUGGGAACUUUAAGGAUACUGCCAGUGACAAACUGGAGGAAGGCGGGGACGACGUCAAGUCAUCAUGGCCCUUACGGCCAGGGCUACACACGUGCUACAAUGGUCGGUACAAAG